rnacentral:rRNA from 1 species
GGCGAACGGGUGAGUAACACGUGAGUAACCUGCCCUUGACUCUGGGAUAAGCCUGGGAAACUGGGUCUAAUACCGGAUACGACCAUCUGACGCAUGUCAUGGUGGUGGAAAGCUUUUGUGGUUUUGGAUGGACUCGCGGCCUAUCAGCUUGUUGGUGGGGUAAUGGCCUACCAAGGCGACGACGGGUAGCCGGCCUGAGAGGGUGACCGGCCACACUGGGACUGAGACACGGCCCAGACUCCUACGGGAGGCAGCAGUGGGGAAUAUUGCACAAUGGGCGAAAGCCUGAUGCAGCGACGCCGCGUGAGGGAUGACGGCCUUCGGGUUGUAAACCUCUUUCAGUAGGGAAGAAGCGAAAGUGACGGUACCUGCAGAAGAAGCGCCGGCUAACUACGUGCCAGCAGCCGCGGUAAUACGUAGGGCGCAAGCGUUAUCCGGAAUUAUUGGGCGUAAAGAGCUCGUAGGCGGUUUGUCGCGUCUGCUGUGAAAGACCGGGGCUCAACUCCGGUUCUGCAGUGGGUACGGGCAGACUAGAGUGCAGUAGGGGAGACUGGAAUUCCUGGUGUAGCGGUGAAAUGCGCAGAUAUCAGGAGGAACACCGAUGGCGAAGGCAGGUCUCUGGGCUGUAACUGACGCUGAGGAGCGAAAGCAUGGGGAGCGAACAGGAUUAGAUACCCUGGUAGUCCAUGCCGUAAACGUUGGGCACUAGGUGUGGGGGACAUUCCACGUUUUCCGCGCCGUAGCUAACGCAUUAAGUGCCCCGCCUGGGGAGUACGGCCGCAAGGCUAAAACUCAAAGGAAUUGACGGGGGCCCGCACAAGCGGCGGAGCAUGCGGAUUAAUUCGAUGCAACGCGAAGAACCUUACCAAGGCUUGACAUGAACCGGAAAGACCUGGAAACAGGUGCCCCGCUUGCGGUCGGUUUACAGGUGGUGCAUGGUUGUCGUCAGCUCGUGUCGUGAGAUGUUGGGUUAAGUCCCGCAACGAGCGCAACCCUCGUUCUAUGUUGCCAGCGCGUUAUGGCGGGGACUCAUAGGAGACUGCCGGGGUCAACUCGGAGGAAGGUGGGGACGACGUCAAAUCAUCAUGCCCCUUAUGUCUUGGGCUUCACGCAUGCUACAAUGGCCGGUACAAAGGGUUGCGAUACUGUGAGGUGGAGCUAAUCCCAAAAAGCCGGUCUCAGUUCGGAUUGGGGUCUGCAACUCGACCCCAUGAAGUCGGAGUCGCUAGUAAUCGCAGAUCAGCAACGCUGCGGUGAAUACGUUCCCGGGCCUUGUACACACCGCCCGUCAAGUCACGAAAGUUGGUAACACCCGAAGCCGGUGG